AUCAAUGGGAAGACGUGAUGCAGAGUGAAGUUUAGUAAUGAAGUCCGUGAGCUGUGCGUCAAGAAAAGCCGCUAUUGUUCAUACCAUACCCGUACCGUAAACCGACACAGGUGGAUGAGGAGAGAAUCCUAAGGCCGGCGGAAGAAGCACUGUCAAGGAACUCGGCAAAAUGACCCCGUAACUUCGGGAGAAGGGGUGCCACUGAGAAGUGGCCGCAGAGAAUAGGCUCAAGCAACUGUUUAGCAAAAACACAGGUCUAUGCGAAACCGUAAGGUGAGGUAUAUGGGCUGACGCCUGCCCGGUGCUGGAAGGUUAAGAGGAGAGGUUAGCGGAAACGCGAAGCUUUGAAUUUAAGCCCCAGUAAACGGCGGCCGUAACGAUAACGGUCCUAAGGUAGCGAAAUUCCUGUCGGGUAAGUUCCGACCCGCACGAAAGGCGUAAUGAUUUGAGCGCUGUCUCGACAAUGCAUCCGGUGAAAUUGAAGUACCAGUGAAGAUGCUGGUUACCUGCGCCAGGACGGAAAGACCCCAUGGAGCUUUACUCCAGUUUGGUACUGGGAUCCGGUACUGCAUGUACAGGAUAGGUGGGAGGCUAUGAAAUGGUAACGCCAGUUGCCAUGGAGCCGCUGUUGGGAUACCACCCUUGCAGUAUUGGGUUUCUAACCAGCCGCCGUGACCCGGCGGUGGGACAAUGCCAGACGGGGAGUUUGACUGGGGCGGUCGCCUCCGAAAGGGUAUCGGAGGCGCCCAAAGGUUCCCUCAGGAUGGACGGAAACCAUUCAAAGAGUGCAAAGGCAGAAGGGAGCUUUACUGCGACACCGACGGGUGGAGCAGGUACGAAAGUAGGGCUUAGUGAUCCGGUGGUAUUAAGUGGGAAUGCCAUCGCUCAACGGAUAAAAGCUACCCUGGGAUAACAGGCUUAUCACUCCCAAGAGUUCACAUCGACGGAGUGGUUUGGCACCUCGAUGUCGGCUCAUCGCAUCCUGGGGCUGUAGUAGGUCCCAAGGGUUGGGCUGUUCGCCCAUUAAAGCGGUACGCGAGCUGGGUUCAGAACGUCGUGAGACAGUUCGGUCCCUAUCCGGCGUGGGCGUAGGAUAUCUGAGAGGAGCUGUCCUUAGUACGAGAGGACCGGGAUGGACGGGCCGCUGGUGCACCGGUUAGACUGCCAAGUCUAUAGCCGGGUAGCCAAGCCCGGAAGGGAUAAACGCUGAAGGCAUCUAAGCGUGAAGCCCCCCUCAAGAUGAGAUAUCCCAUCCGAAAGGAGUAAACCCCCUUGAAGACGACGAGGUUGAUAGGGCAGGGGUGGAAGUGUGGUAACACAUGGAGCUGACUGCUACUAAUAGGGUGAGGGCUUGACCAA
rnacentral:rRNA from 1 species